rnacentral:rRNA from 1 species
GAUGAAUGCUGGCGGCGUGCCUAAUACAUGCAAGUCGAGCGGCAGCGCGUCUAGUUUACUAGAUGGCGGCGAGCGGCGGACGGCUGAGUAACGCGUAGGAAUGUGCCCCAAAGUGAGGAAUAAACUGCCCGAAAGGGUAGCUAAUGCCGCAUAUGGUCUUCGGAUUAAAGGAUUUAUCCGCUUUGGGAGCAGCCUGCGUACGAUUAGAUAGUUGGUGAGGUAAUGGCUCACCAAGUCGACGAUCGUUAGCUGGUCUGAGAGGAUGAUCAGCCAGACUGGAACUGAGACACGGUCCAGACUCCUACGGGAGGCAGCAGUAAGGAAUCUUCCACAAUGGGCGAAAGCCUGAUGGAGCAACGCCGCGUGCAGGAUGAAGGCCUUCGGUGUAACUGCUUUAUGAGUG